rnacentral:lncRNA from 1 species
AGGUUCACUGGCUGCCCAUUUAAAGGUCUCUGGUGUUACGAUAUCUCCCAUACCGACGAAAGAUGUAAUAGCAAGCGUGGCAUAACCACAAGAUGACAAUGCAUUAAUCUUAAAUUCCUCGAAUGAUGGUUUGUAGUUUUGAAGAGUCCAUUUGGCCUCCACAAAGUAGGAUUGAGCAAGUCGUAUCAGCUGAGGCAACAAAAUCCCAACAAUUAUCACUAAUAUCAAAUCAAAUUCUAUAAUAAUAUUUAAAUGACUAUAUAUUGUUAUUCAAGUUAAUUGUUUUUUCAGAUCUAGAAUUUAGCUAAUAUCUUAUCUCGUUUGUACCAAAUAAAUGUUUGUCGGUAUACAUACUGCAUUUUUCGCAUAUUCAACACGAUAUUGUCUUCCGUGCUCAGCCAGUAGUUGUUUCAUUUCUUCAUAAACAUCUAAUAGUGCCUUGUAGCUCAGUUUCAUAUAUUCUGGAAGUUGGUCUAUGCAUUUAAUUUCCCACCUGAAUCCAACUUUAUUGUUAUAUUCGAUCAUUUGACAUAAUAUAUUUGAAUGUUAAUCUCCAAUUAAAGAAAUCUAACCUAUUAAACAGAUUAAAAACAUACCUCUCAAUAGCACUUGUAUAGGGAAUGAGCUCAUCAUAUGUUGCAUAUGAGUCAUAUGUAUCAUCUAUAACAGAUGUCAUUAUUAUCACUUUUGUCAUCAUCUUUCUACCAAGUGAAUAGUGGGGCUCAAAGUACACUCCCAAGAUCCAAAAAUAGCAUUCAACCACUCUAUCUUUUGUAUAUGGCAACUUUGUUUGAAAGUCUAAAUCAUUCCGCCACCUAAAUAAUGAAUUUUUAAAGGUUUAAUUAGUUUCACAUUCAUGUUGCGGAUGAGUAAAUGGUUAGAUUCUUGAUUCAAUUUCAAUUGGCAAUCUCAAAUUUUAAAAUGUAUAUAACUAGAAUGAAAUAGGUGAAAAAGAUGAAUCUGAGGUUCAUGUCAAUCACUUUUAACUAUUGCUAUUUAAUACGUUUAAGAUUCAAAUAUUGGCAUUUGCAACUCGUCUCCUAUAUUGAGGAUGAUGCCUCCUAUAAAUUCAACUCCAUCCACCAAAAACAUUAAAAUAGAUGAAAAAAAAAGAGGUGAAAAAGAUUCAAAAACAUACCUACAAAUCUCACUUAGCUCUUUCCUAUGCAAAAGUUGUAACAUGUUGAAAUCGAUCCUAGCAAACUCCAACAAAGCCUUAUUAUGGGACUCAAUAUCUUGGUAUACUGAAAGAUAAUGCCUUGCCUCAACCCUUGGCAAGCCUCUUCGAAUUGAUUGUUUCAAAGCAUGAGAAACCUGUUCGGACAAAGGAUAGUCCAAAGAUGCCACCGCAAGGCUUAAAUGGUUGGCGGAGAAAGAAAUUGCUUCAUCCAAUAUAUAUUCCCCAUGAACCCUCAAAUAGGAGGCCUCGUAAAGUUCCAACAAUCCUCGAACAUCGUUUGUCACAGAUGACUUGAAAUUCCCUUGCUCGUCGUUAAACUUGUUGAAUGCGUCUGAGAUCAAAUUAACCAAAAUGAAAUAUCGUUAUCAAACAUUCCUUUCUAUGAUAUACUCAAGAAACUUAAAAACAAUAUGUUGCUGUUCCAAUAAUUACUGCAUGAAACAUUGAAUCCAUGCUCUCGGAGUAUUCGGAAUCUAAGAGAUGUAGUGUAGAGGUCGUUCUCGGCAUCAUUGUUGUUAUGGUAGAUGUUCUCUAGUUCAUCUUCGAUCUCCUUGGUGAAAUGGUAACUCACACCCAGUCUUUGAACUGAAUCAAUGACGGUUAACUUUUGGGUUGAAUUAGCCAUUGGUGCCACAAUCAUCUUCCUCACUUCUUCUUUCAAUUGUUGGUGGCGUUUUUCAAUUUCAGCAUCAAUAUUCUGCUCAAAAUAAUGAAAAUUUUCUUCGUAUUGAAUCACUAAAUAAUUAAACAAAUAAUAUGUUAAGAUUAUAUAUCAGUAUGCUCAUAUGUAUGUAUACCUUGUCGGGACAGUUGUGGAAGAAAUCUCCCCAAAUGCUAGGCGGAUAAUCGGCUUUGGGACGCAUUUCAUCCUUAUUGGAAGAAAGGGGUGAUGAAGGCGGCAUUUGGGAAACUUGUGAAGCCAUUUCGAUUGAUCAAAAGCAAAAAUUCAAAAGCUUAAUGUGAGAAAUUUGGCACAAGUCUGUGAGGAUAAGAGUGCAGCUAUUGCAUGUAUUUAUAGGUUGGAACAAGGACUAAGCAACGUGACUUGUUUACUACUAUACUAUUCUAGUGACUAAUUGACCAUAAACUCAUUAAUUUAUGGCCUCAUGUUCUCAAUCUAUACAGAUUUAAAAUUCAUCUUCAAUUUUUAAAACAUCUUAAUUCAGUCCUCAAGGUAUUAGUAUCAUAUCAAUCAAGUCCUUCCAUACAAUUACGUUAGGUAUUAGAUGCCAAUUUUAUAAUUUGAGUUAAGUGUGUUUAUAGAUCAAAUUGGAAAGACAUAUAUAUCUACUGCAUAGAUAAAAUUUAAUUGGCAUUAUUUUUCAAUAUUUCAAAUCCAAGUUUUUCUAGUGAUAGAUAUACAUAAGUUUACAAUUUAAUUCACGUGUUUAAGUAUGUUCCACAUCAUAUCCUAAUUGACGUUUAACACUUAGAUUAACUACUAUGCUAUGCUGAUAUUUUAAAGACUAAAUUAACGUAUUUUGGAGUUUAAAAACUAAUUAGAAUUGCCAUAACAUCAAAUUUAGUACUCAACAAUUACAUUUUUUUAUCAAUUUGACACCUUUUUUUAGAGUUAAAUUUGGUCUUCAAUCUUUUUCUUAAAAAAAAUCAUAUUUGACCACAAAUCUUUAAAAAAGAGUUAAACUAAUAUUUUUAAUGAAAAUAAACCAUUAAUUUUUAAACAUAGUAGCUUACAUAGCAAUCCACAUAUAUUUUAUACUAUUUAAAAUAAUAAUAAUGAAACUUUUUAUAGUAUGUGAGUUGUGGGAUUUUUACCUAAAUAUUGCAAAAAAAUAAAAAAAAUAACCAAAAUAUUAUAUUUUUUUAUUUACGAAAAUAAUACAAAAAAUAUAAAAAUCAGAAAAAAAAGCUGCAGGUGAUGGGACAAGCCACCAAUAGGUGGCACCAAAGGUGCCAUUCCCAUGGGCGGCACCGGUGGUGCCAUUCCCAUGGGCGGCACUACCCAUAUAAUGGUCCUCAUUCGGCUGGUGGGUGGGGGGAAGAGAAGGAGAGCGAAAGAAGAAAGAAAGAAAGAAAGAAAAAGAAAGAAAAGGAGAGGAGAGGAAAGAAAAUGAAAGGAGAAGAAGAAAAAAGAAAGAAAAUGAAGGAAAGAAAAGGAAAGGAGAAGACAAGAGAAGAAAAAGAAGAAGAAGAAGAGGGGAGGAAGGAAAAAGAAAGAAAGAAAAGGUAAUUUUUUAUUAUUAAUUUUAAUUUUUUGUAUAUUUGUGUGUAAAAAAAUUAUGUUAUGUACAUUAUACAUGUUUUAUUAUGUUAUUUAGCAUAUAAAUUUUAUGAAAUUUAUUUAGCAUAAAAAAUUCAUAUUAUAUACAUUGUAUAUUGAUUAGGAUUUUCUUUUAUAAAAUUUAUUUAGAAUGUUGUAAUUAGUUUUUUUAGAAAAAUAGCAUUAAAAAUAAAAUGAUAAAAAAUAUGUUUAAGAAAACAUAAAAUACGAAAAGAAAAAAAACAGAAAUUGAAUAUUCACAGAAAGUAAUAAAAUCCAAAAAAGUGGUAUAUUUAAUAAAUUUCAAACAUAAUGCACUGAAAUAAAGUAAAAAUAUAAAAUUAGAAAUUAUUAAAUUUGUUAAAGUAAUAAAAUGCGGAGAAAAAAAUACGAAGAAAUGGACAAAGUAAGAUUGUUUUACUAACUUUUUUAAAAAUUUAGAAAUAAUUAAUACAAAUAUUUCAAACAAAAUGUACUGAAAUAAUAUAAAAUAAUAAAAUAUGAAAAUAAUUUUUUAUUGAAAGUAAUAAAAUUUGGGAAAAUAAUACGAGCAAAGGGCAGGAAUAAGCAUUUUUUUACACUAAAUUAAUUUAAAAAACACACUAAAUUUAUAAGAUUAAAAAUUAUGAUAUUUUUUAAAGUAAUAAAAUGCGGAGAAAAAAAUACGAAGAAAUGGCCAAAGUAAAAGUGUUUUACUAACUUUUUUAAAAAUUCAGAAAUAAUUAAUACAAAUAUUUCAAACAAAAUGUACUGAAAUAAUAUAAAAUAAUAAAAUACGAUGUAAUAGGCCUAUUUUGCCUAAACCCAAUUAAAUAAACUAAAAGUCCAAAUAAAUACAAACUCAAUAAUAAACAAAUCAACCCAAUUAAUAAACCCAAACAGCCCAACUAACCCAAUAGCAAACCCUAGCCCACAAAAAACAAAAAAGAAAAAGAAACCCUAAGCAGAGAAAAUUAGCAGCCGCCACCCCCAACUCCAUCCGCCGCACGUCUCGGAGCCAGCCUCCUUGCACGACGCCUUUCCGCACGUGCCACCACGUGUGUACCUGCAAAACGGACUAGGAGAGUCCAAAACCAACACAAAUACAAUGUAAAGUACAGAAAAUAGGGGAAUUUUGGGCUAUAAAAGAUCUCGAUUCUAUGUAUUUUAGGAAAAAACACAAAUGAAUCAAAAGAGAUCGGCAAAAAAUCAUUUCAAAUAUCGAUCUUUCUCAAAGGUAGUUUUUUAUUUUUUUCGGUUUACUUAUCUACUUAUUUAUUUUUAUUUUAUUUUAUUUAUUUUAUUUUUGUUUGUUUUAAAGAAAUAAAAAGUAAAAAGGGUAAAAAUUGUACCUUUAUUGCGAAGGAGGUACCGAUUCCAAUGAAAAUCGGUGUUUUUUAAAGCCGGGAGUUGAAAAAACAAAAAAAAUAUUUUUAAAAUUUUUCGGCCACCGUGGACGGCGGCGCCGUUGCCGGCGACCAGCGGCCGCCACAGUGGUCCGAUGCCGAAGCCAUGGCCGAAUUCUGAAAAAAGUUUGAAAGGUUGAGAGAGAGUUGAGAGAAAAGAGAGUUUUUUUUUUUAAAUGGGGUUGCAAAUGUUUUUUUAAGUUUUUUUUUUACUUAUAUAAACACCCAAAACGAAGUCGUUUUGGGUUUGGCUUCUGAUGCCCAAAACGGCGUUGUUUUAGCCUUACUAUCCGCACUCGACCCGACCCGCUCCAGGGGAAUCCGCGCGUUUUCCUUAAAUGGGUUAUUUACAACCUUGGGCCUUCCGCAUUUAUUAGUUUUUAAUUUACUCCCUCCUUUUUUUAAUUUUUUAAAUUUGGCCCAAGAAUUUCGUUUGGUUUUCGAUCAGAUCCCUGUGUGAAACGGUGCUCAUGGGUGAUGGGAAUAAUUUUCUCUUCAGUCCCGCACUUUUGCGCGUGAUUUGUUUUAAUCCCCCAAUCGACCCUAUCAUUUAUUUUUUCCUAAAUUGACCCCAAAGUAUUAUUUAAAUUGCAAUUUAAUCCAAGGAAUUUUUUUAUUUAUCUAUUAUUUUAUUCGUUUACCUAUACUUAUUUUCAUUUAUUAUUUAUUUAUUAUUAUUCCUUCAAUCUUUGCAUUAAAAAAAUAAACUUUAAAAAUAUUUUUUUAUAAACUCAUGGUGCGGUUUUAUAUUUUUUUUCCCUUAUGCAAUCUUGUUUAUUUAUUGAUUUAAAUAUUAUUAAUACAUUUAUUAUUGCAUUAUUUUAUUUGAUUGUUUAUAUUAUUUAAUAUAUAUAUAUAUUUAAAGCUUUGAAAUGUUCGCUGUUAUUAUUAUCAAUCUUAUCUUCAUUAUUACUAUUACUAUUACUAUUAUUAAUAUUAUUAUUGCUAUUGUUAUUAUAUUUUUACAACAAUUUAUCUAACCUUUUUGCAUGCAUAAUUUUAUUCUAUCUAUAUCACUGUCAUAUAUUAUUAUUUUAUCUUAUAAUGUAUUAUUUUAUUUCUUUUUAAAAUCCAGUAUAAUGCAUAUAUUUUGAUGCUUUUUAUUUUGUAGUAUAUGUUUUUUUUAAUUCAUUUUAUGUAUUUUUGUGUUUUAAAGAUUUAUAUGAAAGUAUUUUUAUAUAAUAUUUUUUAUAUAUACAUGUACGAUUUAUAUUAAAAUACUUUUAUUCUUUAGAUAUAUUAUUGAUUUGUUUAAACUACUGAAAUCGUUUUAUCCGCAAGUUUUCAAAAUAUUCGACGUUCAAGAUUCUCGAGGAGAUUGUGCCCUAACUUACUGGGCUUCAAUUUUCUCCGUUGGAUUUAAAUAGUCCAGUAUCCUUUUUUUAAUAAAAUCGUAAACAUUUCAAGAUUAAAACUUACUCUCGGGAAUUCAAAGGGUGAUGUCCUAACUCACAGGAUACAACAUUUUGUUAUCUCGAGACUUGAUUUUUUUAACAAAAGCAAAUUAGUGUGUGGUCGUUAAAAUUUCAAAGAAUCGUACCUUAACUUACGAGGUUUUGAUUUCUUCAUAGAAAUAGGAUGACCAAACUUUUUUUUUAGUGUUCAAAUUAAUAAAUUUCAAUAAAGAUUUUAAAGGAGAAUCGUUUUUUAAUUUUUUUUAUUCAAUCUUAAGACAUUAAAUAAUUAAUUCGGUACCAAUUUUGGGUGUUACGAUGGUGCUAAUACUUCCUCGUACGUAACUGACUUCCGAACUCAUUUUUCUAAAACUCGUAGACCAAAACCGUUUUUAGGUGAUCCAAUCACACCUCAAUAAAAGAUUGGUGGCGACUCCCAAUUUUCAUUUUUCAGUCGACAACUAUUUUUUGUUUUUCAAAAGUGGUUUCGACAUACGAAAAUAAUUUUUUUAUUGAAAGUAAUAAAAUUAGGGAAAAUAAUACGAGCAAAUGGCAGGAAUAAGAGUUUUUUUACACUAAAUUAAUUUAAAAAACACACUAAAUUUAUAAAUUUAUAAGAUUAGAAAUUAUGAUAUUUUUUAAAGUAAUAAAAUGUGGAGAAAAAAUACAAAGAACUGGCCGAAGUAAGAGUGUUUUACUAAAUUUUUUAAAAAUUCAGAAAUAAUUAAUACAAAUAUUUCAAACAAAAUGUACUGAAAUAAUAUAAAAUAAUAAAAUACGAAAAUAAUUUUUUUAUUGAAAGUAAUAAAAUUCGGGAAAAUAAUACGAGCAAAGGGCAGGAAUAAGGACUUUUUUACACUAAAUUAAUUUUAAAAACACACUAAAUUUAUAAAUUUAUAAGAUUAGAAAUUAUGAUAUUUUUUAAAGUAAUAAAAUGUGGAGAAAAAAAUACGAAGAAAUGGCCGAUGUAAGAGAGUUUUACUAACUUUUUUUUCAACAUGCAGGCACCGCAAUGGCUCGAUUGAUUCGGCCCGAUAGACAUAUAUCUGAUACGGCUAAUCAGGAAGUAUGAUUUAUUAUUUGUUAAUCACGGGUUUUAUUUAUUUAAAGAGGAUAUACGUAAUAUAUAGAAAUAAAUCAUGUUAUCGUAAUUUUUUUCUGUAAUUUAACACUAUCAGGACUCCUACCGAGUAAUAAGGGGUUGUGUGAAUGGUUUAAAGAAAGCUCCGGAUGGGCGAUUGAUGCCGUACUUGGAGCAAGCCAGAUUUAGGUCAGCAACAUUGAUCCAGACCUCCGACUUGCGCUAUGAUUUAUUAUCUACGCUAGUGGAGCGGUGGCGCCUAGAGACCCACACUUUUCAUUUUCCGUGUGGAGAGUGAAUGGUGACCUUAGAGGAUGUUGCAAUGCAGCUUGGGCUCCCAAUUGACGGGAGUCCCAUAACGGGAGUAUCUUCAUUCACCAAUCCGGCUGCACUUUGUUAUCAGCUCCUCGGAGAGUCACCAGAGGACGAAGAGUCAAAUUUUUCGGGCUUAAAAUUUACAUGGCUGAAAGCCAAAUUUGGACAAUUAUCAGCGACUGCCACUGAAGGUGAGUUGAUAUGCACUGCUCGAGCGUACAUCAUGCAUAUCAUAGGGGGAGUACUCAUGCCCAAUGCAAACAACAAGGUGCAUUUGAUGUACUUGCCCCUGUUAGCUGAUUUGUCCAGUGUUAGCUCGUAUAGCUGGGGCUCCGCCGUUCUAGCAAUGUUAUACCGGGAGCUUUUUCGGGUGACAAACCCGGAUGUUGUAGACAUGGACGGAUGCCUCACAUUGCUGCAGUCCUGGGCGCUCUAUCGGAUGCCAUUUUUGGCAUCGAUUAGUCACCAACCGUAUGUUUAUCCACUGGUGAACAGGUGAUAAAAUAUAAAUUGUCAUUAUUUGUAGUCAUAAUAUAUUGACUAAUGUUACCAACCUUAAACCCUAUAUUUGUUUUUUUUAGGUAGAGUGUUCGUCCGGGUAUCGGGAGGUCGCACACUGUCCUGAUAUACCGACUCAUGAUCGAACAGUAUACCCAGAAAGAGGUAAGCUGCUAUUCUAAUAUUCAUGACAUCUUACUUUCUAUAUCUUACUCACAUGUUAUGGCUAAUUAUAACAAUGUUAUUAAUCAUACAGUUUAUAUGGAUGUCAUACCGUAGGCCAAAAAUUACAGAUGUGGUACCCUCGGCUGCAUACGUUCAUUCCCAUAUAUAGUGCACUAACGCACCAAUUAUCAAUCUCAACAUGGUCCAGUGGUAUCACGGAGAUCGGGUGCUACGACAGUUUGGCUGCAUCCAACCUAUCCCGGAUCCGCCGUGUGAGGUGGGGAAAUUCACAGCAUGAAUAAAAGAGGAAAAUCGAUGUUGGAUUGGGGAAUUAAGCACCAGAAAUUUGUGGCGCUGUGGAAUGAUCGAUUGCAUCGAAGACCUCAAAUGGUUAUAGCUACCUAAUCGCAACCAUCAUUAGAGUAUAUACAAUGGUACUAUAGUUGCGGGAAGCCAUAUAUACUUGGAGGCCAGUCGACUGUAGUCCCCCCGCACGUGCAGUAACCUAGGGGAUCGGAUGCAGCAGCUCCGAUGGAUCUGGAUCUUGUGGCAUAUUAUUCUCUGGAACCACCAGAGCCCAAGCAAUCACAGUCACAUGUGGAUUCACAUAGCUAUAGUUCGGAUUUGGCAGGCAGUGACUAUUUUCCGAGCUUCUCAGGGGGCGAAUACGCCUACGAGUUUGAACUCUUUGGAUCCUACCCGCCGCAGUACGACAUGCCUAGCCCGUCUGAUCUGUAUCCGCAGCAUCAUGGGACUCCUUUCGAUUCAAGUUCAUCGGUGCCGAACGAGCCAUAGGAAUUUUCCUCUAUGUUUGCCACACCCCCACUUGCACCGAAUGAUGAUGUUGGUUGUCACCCAAAAUGUGAUCGUCGACCUCCGAAUAGGUAUACCCCUAGGACCACACCAUCGAACCAUCAAUUUUAGGGGUUUAAUGCACUUUUUGUACAUUACGAAGUUUGUAUUCUUUUUGUAUAAAUUUAAUAUUUCUAAUUUAAUCUUUGCUUACUUUUGAACUUUUUUGUAUAAAUGUAAUUAUUCUAUUUUUGCAUUAUAUUAAAGCUGAAUCCAAUUAUAAAUGCCUCCAUUUUCGAUAUAAUUUUAAUAAUUCCAAAUGAGCACAUGGUAUUUUAUAACUUAAUUUGGAUACAAUUUGGAUACAAUUUAAGUAUAAGCAUAAGCUGAAUAAUAAAAAUUAUUUCAAAUGAAUUAUACUUUUUAUAACACUAUACAUUAAAAUUUUACAUCAUUAGGUCAAUUCCGACCCGAUCCGGACGACUGUCCAACAUGAAAGUUCCGAUGAUGGCAUUUAUUCCGACUAUGACCACUUAACCUAUAUAAUCCACAACGCUUACUGUCAGAUUUCUCCCUACUGUCCAUUUCAUUAUAGAUUCUGCUUGAUUAUAGACGACCUCUUGGAUUCCUCCGUAGCCCUCUGUCUGCGAUAAGCUCGAAAGUCGUCGGAGGCACCUCCCACGUAAAUAGGUCAGGUAGGACGGGGAACUCAUUUUCCCAGACACGCAAUGUACGCUUGAGCGUGUACACAUCAUCGACAUAUUGUUCGACAUUAACGUUCACUUUAGCACACGCUGCCACGACAUGCGCACAUGGAUAAUGAAGCGUUCCGAACCUCCUGCACUCACACCGUCUGGUCCGGAGAUCAACUCCAUAGGACCUAGUUGGUAUACCAGGUCGACGACUGAUCGUCUCAAUAACUCAAAACGUUUUUAGUUGUCAUGAAUAUAUUUCUACAUUCAUUAACCUCACCAACCGAUGGUUUGCAAGCAUUGCAUCCUUGACAUGUUCGACAAACACGUGUCCCGUCUCUAUUUGGUCGACUUGUUGCUGACCCAUUCUUGGCAUCAAGGUAGCCAGCUUGUAGAAAGUAGCAAAAAAGACAGAUGCAACCGGAAGAUGAUGUGUUUUCAACAAGACAGCGUUGAUCCCCUCGAUUAAGUUUGUGGUCAUUUAGCCAUAACGAAAGCCCUCGUCAAAACUUUGAGCCCAUUGCCACGGCUCCAUUGUGCCCAACCAUUGUUGGAAAGACGUGUUUGUCUGCCCCUCCAUGUCACUCUCAAGUCGGAUCAUUCUUUGGCAAAAAAUAUGUGGCUCUAACUCGUACGCUGCAUACGUAUUAAGAAAAUAUAAGUUCUAGUAACUCGAUAACAUAAAACAUUACAACUUAUAUUGGAAAUAUAAGGUUAUCAUUUACCCAUUGCCACGACUUGUCUCUUCCAAUCUGCAUUCUUAUAAUAUUUCUGGAAGUUAGCCACAAUGUGACGGAUGCAGCAAACGGACCUCUAUGGCACACCGGAACGCCUAAUUGCUGCAAUUAAACUUUUCCUUCUAUCGGAGAUUAUGCAAAUGUUAUCGUUGCUAAUAACAUACCUCCGCAGGUUAGUGAGGAAGAAUUCUCAAGACUUCAAGUUCUCUUUAUCUAUGAUGGCAAAUGCUAUCGGGAGCACGUUUCUAUUGCCGUCUUGAGCAACCGCAAGAAGUAGGAUCUUUGUAUAUUUUCCAUAUAGCCAGGUCCCAUCCACCUGCACAAAUGGCUUGCAAUAGGGAAAUGCCAGCACACAUGGAUUAAAGGUCCAAAACAUCUAAUGGAAAAUCCUUUUUACCGGCUGUAACUGGUCGUCUGGGCCGUAAUAAGGCCUUGUCUGCAACUCAAUCACAGUCCCCAGUACGUACUCCUGCAUAGCAGCUAUCCAUCCUUGUAGCUCAUUAUACGACGAAUCAUAAUCCCCAUACUGUUGCUCCAUUGCCAUCUGUUUAGCUAUCUAUGCCUUUCAAUAUGAUACUCGAUACUGGAAUCGUGCUUGCAUUUCGGCAAUCAGUACCGAAACUUUAAUGGUCGACAUGUCCUUUACCAUUGGCAUGAUACACGUACAGAUAGUUUUCAAAUCAAGUUUUCCAUGAUCUUCUGUCAUAUGUGUUGAUGUGCAUAUAUGAGAACCAACAAAUUUUCGUAUCUCCCACAUUUGAGAACUAUUAAUGAAUACAGCUUGUACCUUCCAAUUGCAGCCUUCCGCUGCUUUCGAACACUACCCAAUAUAUAUUGUCGGAGUAGACACUACGACUUUAUAAUCCACUGAUAUGUUCAUGCUAUACCGUUUAAUAGCAAAUACGCACUCUUCUUUACAACUGAAUCUCUGGCCUAUGAAUAACUCCUCAUGAUCAGAAUUUACGGCUAUCCCGUGAGGAUGAACUAUUUCUGGGUACUCCGAAAACUCAGCUACAUACGCUGUUUCGGGGUCUAUGAGUGACAUUUGUGGCCCAAGAUUAUUGUGUAUCAAAAUACGUCGCAUCUGGUCCCCGACCGAAGAAGCGUCAAUGUUUCCAUUGUUGUUAACAUCUUCAGCGUCAAUAUCAUUAGGUACAUCGUCUACAUCGGGAUCACCGUCACUAUCAACGUAUUCAUCCCAAUGAUUGCUACCACCUUCUUCUUCACCUGGAACCACAUCAAUAUCGGGUGUAAUAUUCAAAUCAAUACCGAUCCCACCCAUAGUCGAUUCACUAUCAACGUAUGAUAUUGGAGCCACCAUCCACGGUUCUUGAGCUCUGUGUUCUUCAUCGGAUGCAUUGACAUCUUCAUUUUGCUCCAUACCGGCUAACUCAGCAAAUAAGUGAAUCGGUGCAUUCUUGUCACUCCCAUUCCCACAGUAAAGAGCGAUCAUUGUCUCCACGCCUUCGUCGUCUACAACUUCCAUUUCGGUGAAUUUGACCGGAUUUGUCGAAACUGGAAACUUGUAGAAAAUUUUUUAUAUCCUUCUCCUACAAUGUCUAAGAAUUUUUGCAUUAAUCAUUGCCUUCAUUUCAUCCAACAAGGCAUUUCUAUUAAAUCUCAUUGCUAUUUGUUGCCGACAUUCAAAUACACAUCCAACACUUGUUGUCAAUAUGACUCCAUCGAAAUAAACGCAUACAAAAAACUUAUCAUCCAUUUUCAAUAUUCAAUCUGUCAAAAAAUAAACAAAAUCUCAAAAAAAAUCUCCAACAGUAAAUAAAUUACUUAAAUAACAAAAAUUAAUGUUUUUUACUAACAAUAAUACUAAGUAACAUCUAAACCCUAAUAAUAAUAAUAAUAAUAAUAAUACUAACUAAAAAUAUCAAUUUCUGUUUUUAUUAAUCUUAAUAACUAAAUUAACAACAAAAAAAAUAAAAAUUAUACAAAAAAAACAUAACAACAUAAUCAAUUAUUUUUAAAAAAAAAUACCUUUUUUCCUCUUCUUUUUCUCUAUUUUUCCACAGCACCUCCUCUUUCUCUUAUUUUUCUUCUUAUUUUUCUCCUUCAGCUGGACGGAUCUCGUGUUUAUAACACGAGUGGUGCCGCCUAUGGGAAUGACACCUUUGGUGCCGCCUAUCAGUGCUGUCCCAUCACCUGCAGCUUUUUUUUCUGAUUUUUGUUUUUUUUAUUAUUUUCGUAAAUAAAAAUAUAAUAUUUUGGUUAUUUUUUAUUUUUUUGCAAUAUUUUGGUAAAAAUCCCGUGAGUUGUCUUUCAUAUUUAUAUUUAUUAUAUUUAAUUGUCAAGUUAUUCAAUUUAUAGUUGUUAAGUUAAUUAUUUACUGUAGUAUUUAUAAUAAGUAAUUAUUUGAAGUGUUAGUACAGGAGCGCAGCAAGGGGUCUUACUGCCGGUAGGGGUUCGACACCUUAAAAUUGGAAACUUAAAUUUUGAAUCCUAAAAAUAAUAUUAUUAUAAUUUAAUCGUUUAAAAUUUUAUAAUUAUAUUUAGAUUAUUUUUAGAUUUGAGUUAUUUUGGCUCAUUCCCUUUUGAAGCUCGAAAAUUUCAAGUCAUAUUAUUUAGUAUCGAUUUCUUUCAAGCUGAUGACAAUUUAAGUUUAGAUCAAUUUGAAUUUAAGUUAUUGACAUUUUAUAAUGAAGUUGAGUUAAGCUAAGAGUUCAGGUAAAAAAAACUACUCAAAAUGGGAAAAAAAAGCACAUUGAUCAUAUUUUGAGGCGUACAUGAAAGAGUACAUGACUUGAAAAUUGAUAUAUGAGACCAUACGGUGUUUACGGUUGAUAAGAAAAUAGUGACCAAAAAGAGAAAAUAGUUAUCCACGUGCAUGACUGCAUUUCGGUUGGAAUAGAGUGUUGAAAAGAAAUGGGAAAGUUAUAAUGUGGAUACUUGUAUUAUAAACUAAAUACCAAAUUAAUUCCUUAAUUAUAAAAGUGAGCAAUUUAGUCCCUUUGCAUUUAAUUUAAAAGAUAAUCUAAAUCCUUAAUUGCAUUUAAAAGCGAGCAAUUUAGUCCUGUCACAAUCUUUAAAAGAUUAAAUUAAAAUUAUAUCACUUGAAGUGUCAGUGUAAUUUUAUUAUUUAUUAAUUUAAAAUUAUAUAAAUUUAAAGGACUAAAAUUUUAAUUUCAUAUUUUAAGAAGAUGGGCGCUGCCACCCCCCUCCCACCGCCGGCGCCCUUACUUAAAUGACAAAAAAUAUGAAUGUCGUGUUUCAAAAUAACAAUAGCUAUUUUGUUUUAAAGCUCAAUUUGAUCUAGCCUAUUUUGUUAUUUUGGCUAUUCUAUUAUUAAAUUAAUUAAUUUAAAAUUAUUGUUGCUAUUAUUAUUUUACCUUAGUUAUUUAUAUACUUAUUACUACUAUAGCUAUAUCAAUAAAUCAAUUAGUUUUUAUGUUAUUAUUUCCAUUUUUUUAAUUUACUAACAUAAACACUUUAAAUGCAUUUAUUUUAUUUUAUCUCCUUUUUUCUUUUUCCUCUUCAAAACUUUAGACUAGUUAUCAUCGUUAAUACUAUUAUUUUUAUUACUAUAACCCUAAUUCCACCCCUUUUUUAAUGAUCAUUUCAAUAUUUCCUAGAUUAAUCUCUUUAAUGCUAUUUUAUGUAUUUAUUUAUUAAUUUCUUUUAAUUUUGAUAUCGUCGUGUUAUGUUUUUUUAUAUUAUUGUUUAUACCGUUAUUAUUCGUUAUUAUUGAUGAUUUUGUUGUUUCUUUGAUUAAUUAAUAUUAAAGUGACUGUCGAAACCAUUUUUUUUGCCGUGAAAACGGGAUCGACUUGGAUUUUGAAAAUGAAAACGAACAGGGGAGUAACCACCAAUCUUUUUUGAUGAGGUGUGAUCAGGCCACCUCGAAAAAUGGUUAUUUUUAAUAAACGAUUUGAUUUUAUCAAAACUACGAUUUUGGUCUACGAAAAUCAGAAAACGGGUCCGGGAGUCGGUUACGCACGAGGAAGGAUUAGCACCCUCGUAACGCCCAAAAUUGGUACCUAGUUGUUUAAUUAGUGUCUUAGUGUCGAAGAUUGAAAAUUUUGAAGAGUUUUUUAAAAAUAUGAUCCUUUCGUCAAAACAUUGAGAAUUUUUGAGACAAAGACAUAGUUUCAUGUUAAUCGAGAAAGAGAAUUACGUUCCGUAAGUUAGGAUGCAAUGACGCAAUGCCUAAAAUUCCCGAUACGAGAAUGAAUGCCGAAAAAAUUAUUUAAAAAGAUAUUCAAUUAUCUCGGGUUUAGAAAAGAAAUCAUGUCCUGUAAGUUAGAACCUGAUAUUUUGUUAAAUCUCGAGAUCAUAAAAAUUUGCUUGAAAAGAUUCGUAUAUUUAGAUUUAUCGGGAAAAUCAAAAUCCCGUAAGUUAGGAUACAACUUUUCCGAAUCUCAAAAUACGAAAUGUUAUUUGUUUGAAACAAAUUUUGAUGUAUCGAGCGAAAUAAAGCACAAAGUCGUAAAAAAUGCGAAAAUAGAUUAUAUCGUUGGCAUGCAAGACAAGCAAUGAUAAAUAUGAUGAUGCAAACGUGAAUAGCAUGAGCAACAACCAAUAAAAGAUAAAUAAAAGACGAAUCAAUCAUGUAAGAUAAUAAGUAGAUAAACUAUUCGAAUAAGAUGGGCAUAAAAUAAGAAAGUAAACACCGCAUGAAACAACAAAACCGUAAUGGAAAUAAAUAAAAAAUGUACAAUAUAAAAAAAAUAAACAUAUGUAUGUAUGUCUACGUAAAAUUAUAAAAAUAAGAAGAAUAUAUAUAUAUGUGUAUACGUUUAAAAUUUAAAAAUGUAGGUAAGUAUGUAUAUAUAUAUAUGUUUACGAAUUGAAAUAUGCAUUUAUAUAUGUACAUAUAUGUAUAUAAAAAUUAUGAAAUGUAUAAAAAUAUAUGAGUGUAUGUACGUAUAUUUUUAUAAUAAUAUUCAUAAAAGUAUAAAUGUAUAUAUACUUAUCAUAAAAUAAGUAUGCAUAUAAUUAAACGUAUUUUGAAAUUAUAAAAUAUGUAAAACAUAUUUAAUGUAAAAUGUACACACGUGUAUAUUAAGAUAUAUGUAUAUGUAUUUACAAAAUAAAAAAAUGUAUAGGUAUGAUAUAUAUAUAUAUAAGUAAAUUAUGAAAAUAUGUAUAUGUAUGUAUUAAAAUACGUAUAUAUAAGUAUAUAUAUGUAUAAAAGAAAUGAAAUAUGCAAAAAAUAUAUUUAUAAUAAUUUAAAAAAAGUGUACGUAUAUAUGUAUAUUAUAAAGAAUGUAUGUAUAUAUAUGUAUGAAUUAUAAAAUGCCUAUGCAAGUAUAUAUAUUAGAAAUACGUACGCAUAAGUACAUACAAUACUAAUACUAUUAUAUAACAAUAAUAACAAUAUUAAAAUAAUCAAUUUUGAAAUAAAAUAACUAAUGAAGGAUUAAAUUGAAACCCAAGUAAAAUUUGAGGACCAAAAUCAAAGUAAAAAAAUGAGAGAAACACAGAAAAGGGUUAAGUUAGGGCAUGUGUGAAAGGAGGGGGCUGAUUGGGAAAAUAUCCCCAGCCUCAUGCGCGUCGUUUCACGCAAGACUAAAGUGAAACAUACGAAAAAAAAUGUGGCAGAAUAAAAAAAACGGGACCAGAUUGCACUAGGGCGCAAAAGAAAAGGGUCCACGCCUACAAAUAUCCCACCCAAGUAAAAACACGUGGAUCCUCCCCCUGGGUCAGGUUACCGCGUGGGUCAAGGGACUAAACAACGCCGUUUUGGCGCUGGUACCUUUGCCAUCAAACGACGCCAUAUUGCGUUUUUAUUUAAACAAAAAUUUAAAAAAAAAAAUAAGCCAUAUGCCCCCAAAACAAAAGAAUUGCUGCUUCUUUUUCUCUGCUAGGGUUUUUAACCCAACCUCUGCCACCGUGCCUCCAUCACAAUUCCACCGUGAACGGUGGUCGGAGCCACACCACAAAAGGCUUUUUGGCUCCCUCUCACGCGGAUCUUCAAGGCGUCGCAAGGUAAGCCUUCUUUUUUACUCCUUUAUUUACUGUUUUUUUAAUCUAAGCAAAGAGAAAAAGAAAAACGAAAAUCUACCUUCAAUCUAUCUUUUUUGUAUUUUGAAAUCUCUACUUCAAAUAAUUUUUUUGUUUUUCUAUUUGAUUCGUGAAAAAAAAACCCUUUACAAGUGCUACAAUCGGCUUUAUAUAGCCGAAUAUUACAGAAAUUAUUUAUUUUUCUUUUAUAUUUUUGCUAUUUUCCCUGUUAUUCUAGUGCUGGUCGUGGUUUGUUACAGGUGCACUGGAGGAGAACAUGCGUUGUGCGGGGGCGAUGUGCUGCGACGUUGGUGAGGUUGCUGCGGCGUUGGUUUGCUACUAACUGCUUAGGGUUUCUGUGUCUUGGGAUAAUUCGGGCUGUUGGUAUUGGGCUGAAGUCUGUAUUGGGUUUGGGGUAAAUUUUGUUGUAAUCUGGACAUGGACCUAAUUUCAUUUGAUUUAUUAUUUUGGAUUUAUUUCUUACACUGGCCGGGCAAAUUGGCCUGUUACAAUGUAUAUUAUGUGAUCAUUGUUAUUUUACAUUCGUAUUCUCGUUAUUCGUCGUUUUAAUAUUUUAUUUGUGUAACAUUUCAAGUAUCACAUUAAUUUUGACCCAAAUGCAUAUUUUUUUAAAAUAAAAAUACUUCGUAUUUUGGAAUUCGAAAAUAUCAUAUCCUAACUUACGGAGUCUCGUUUUUUUUAUAAUUCCAAAUAUACGAUCCCUUUUUUAAAAAAAACAUGUUUUUUUAAAAAAUUGUCUUAGGAAUCAGAAAAGGACCGUGUUCCAACUUACGGGAUAUGAUUUCUUCUCCAAAACCGAGAUGAUCAAAAUUUCUAAAAAUAAAUAAUUUUUGGUGUUUAUUCUCAUGUUGGGAUUAGAGAUAUUGUGUCCUAGCUCAAGGGAUAUAAUUUUUUUCUCGAUUAAUGUGAAAUACACCCUUUUUUUAAUAAAAGGAUCAUAUUUUUAAAUUUCUUUUCGACAUUAGGACAUUAAUUAAUCAAUUAGGUAUCAAUUUUUGGGCGUUACGAGGGUGCUAAUCCUUUCUCGUGCGUAACCGACUCUCGAGCCCGUUUUCUCGAAUUUUGUAGAUCAAAAUCAUUAUUUUAAUAAAUCAAAAUGUUUUAAGCCCAUUUUCUCGAAUUUUGUAGACCAAAAUUAUUAUUUUAAUAAAUCAAAAUAUUUUAUUAAAAUGAUUAAAUUCAAGGUGACCCGAUCACACAUCGAAAAAGAUUAGUGGCGACUCCAUUUUCGUUUUAAAAGUCGAUCCUAUUUUUUCAUAAAAAAUGGUUUCGACAAAUGUAAUGUUUCAAAAUGACAUGAAAAGAAAGAGAAAAGCCAAAUAUCAACCAUUUCAAAAAAAAUUUAUUUUACUUUUGUAUUUAAUUUUUCAUUUCUUUUAGACAUUAAAUUUGCAUUGAUUAUCAAAUCACCUCAAAAUAGAUGAAAAAAUUAAUGCUUGUUACAUUUGCUGAUGUGGCAUCUAUGUGGCAGUCCAUGUGUAUGCCACAUUAGAAAUUAAUUAAUUUUUUUAAAAAAAAAAUCCAUCUAUUUUGGAGAAAUUUGUCAAACAAUGCAAGUUCAAAAACUAAAAGAGACAAAAAAAUUAAAUGAAAAAAACUAAAAUAGUAUCUUUUUUUUAUAAAAUUAAAGAAUCAAAUAAAUCAUUAUUACAACAUUAUUUAAAGAAUGAAUGUCAUGUUUCAAAAUAACUUGAAAAGAAAGUUUCAAAAACAGUACGACGAUCAAAAUAUGUAUUUUUUCACAUCACUUUAAAAUAUGUUAAGGUCAUCACAUUUUUACAUUUAACUUCACCAUCAUUUAUAAUUUUAUAUAUUUAUUUCGAAAUUUAAUGUAAAUAACUAAAUUGCUAAUUUUAAUAAUAGAACAAUUAAUUUACCCCUAAAAAGGAAACAUUCAGCGUAAUGAAUUGCCUUAUGCUUAUAAACAAAAGAGAUACUUGAAUAGAAUUUUGUCCAUGAGUUGGAUCGAGUCUUACUAUAGCCCAAAAUCUUUUAUAAGGUAAUAUUUGUCUUCCUCUUCAAUGGAAUUCUCAAAUCCAACUUGACAUGAGCUCGCAUAUAUCCCCUCAAGCCAUGUGUGAUAGAUACUAAGUGGUGUGUAGAGCUGGGUGGGCGUUUUAUACCCCACGUGGUGUGUUGGAUGGUCGGAAAUAGUAUGUAGAGGAUGGGGGUAGGAUUAUGCAUAUCUGUAUCUGUACGACUCUGUUAUGAUUCUAAUUCUGUAGUAUAUUUAUAUCUAUAUUUGUUCUGCCAUUCGACUAAAUUUGAAUUUGUGUUUUCGCAUGCGUUACACACUGAGUUAUAAAAACUCGCCUUCUGUUUGUCUGUUACUUUCAGCUAACCCUCAGACUUAGGCGGGUCGGUGUGACGGGAGCUCGGAUAUGCCUAACUACAUGAAUUUUCCUAUUUGAAAUUCUGGUUUUGAGAGUUUUGUAAUUUUGGGGCUCUCUGGACAUUUUGGAUUUUAAUUUGUGAUAUCUUGUAUGAUGUUUGAUAAAACAAUUUACGAAAACAACUAUUUUAUGAAAUCAACCAUUUUUGAGGAAACAAACUCGGGUUUUCAAAAUAUAAUGACUUAAGAACUUUCGCUACAAAUUAUUUGCUUCAUUUGAAAAUGUAAACAAUUUACGGUUUUAAUUGAUAAGUAUACCAACAUGUUUUUAAAUAGGUAGAUUCUUUUAGCAAGAAAGAUAUAUGAUGCUUUCAAAAAGUAAAAGUUGGAUUGAUAACUUUUCUUCGUAGCAUUCCCAGAUUCGACCAUAACGUAUAGGUCGGGUUUGGAGUAAUAUAAUUAUAAUAUUGUUUAAUCAUCAAUGUAUAUAUAUACAUAUAAAAUGUUCAUAUAUUAUAUAUAUGGUAUGAUAUAACAUUAUAUAAUAUAGUAGUGGGGCUAAAUUUCAAAUGUGCGAAGAGUAUAGGGAAUUAGAGCAUAUUUCAACCAAUAUAAUAAUAAUUAAUAAUGUAGAAUAAUUAAUAUAUUAUGUAUUACUAUUAUAGUAAGCGAUAUAGCAUUAAAUAAUGUAAUAAUAUAUUUUAAAAUUAUUAAUACAUAUAUAUAACUAUUAAAUGGUCCAAAAUCAAAAUUGAAUUUACCAUCCAAUUUGCUUAAAUUGGGUUUGUUUCGUUGGUUAAGUUGGUUUUAAUAGCUAACUAAAUAGAUGACAUACUAUUAUAUAAUAUAAUAAUAUAGUAUAUAACUAUGACGAAAACUGUUAAUACAUAUAUAAUUAUUAUAUAUAUUUAUUAGAAAUUAUAAUAAAAGAUAUAGUAUUAGUAGUUACGUGUGAUUUAGUAAUUUACAACACAUGUUUGUUAACGAUGAUAUCCUAAGCUUUUGAUAAACUUUAUACAUUAUAUUCCCAAAGUCAUUUGGAGGAAAUAUGGUUGAAUAAUUAUCAAACAUUUUUAAAGACUUGCAACAUACUCAAAAACAUGUAUACGUGUUUUAUAAGGUUCCUAAUGUUUUUGAGUCAAAACCAAAGUGCUCAAAAUGUUUUUAAGAUACUUUGGUAAUCAAGUCUCUAGACAAAAUGAGUCUUGUCUUGAGACAAAUAAACAUCAAAUUAGCUAAGGUAUGCUUCAAGGAAGCCUUGUCUCAGGACAUUCGAGUAAUUGUCUCAAGACAUACAGCCAAAUGUCUCGAGGCAUUACUUGCCAACAACUAUAUAAAGGUCAUAUUUGUUCUUCUUGUCUCAAGACACAUUGCUGCAGGAUGCAUUAAAUGCUCGAAAUAAAAAGCUCCCAACAGUUAGAAGUCAUCUCCAACGACCACAAAUGUCCACAAAUUUGUUCCUUAGUAUAAAUACAAGUUAAUUAAAGACACAUCAAGACAUAAAAGAUGAACAUUCAAGCAUAAAAAUCAAGAGAAAAACAUCAAAUUAUUUAUUUCUUUAUUUUCUAUUGUACAUAUCUCUUAGGUACUUAUUGUUAGAUCUUUUUAUCAUUCUCAUUUCAAUUCAUUGAGAGAGUUAAACACUUGUAAACACACACGUUUGUGAGGUCUUUAUUGUUUACAUCUUUUCUUAUACUUACAAAAAGCUACUUAAGGUUUUUGAGGUAUAAAACUUUUAGUAUUUUGUAAAUGAUUUUAGUUGAGCCGUAAAAACUAGAACAAUUCUAGUUAAGCCAUAAAAAACUAAGGGAAAUGUUCUAUCUAAGGCUUGUGAAAAAAACGGGGAUUAUAAAGGUUUUACAUUGUCCUUUAAAGAUAUCAAUUCAAGUACAGUAAAUUGGGAAAUCCUUAGUUGAGGUAUACCAAGAUAAUGAAGGUAAACAAUUGGGGUUGAACCACUAUAAAUCGGUUUGUCUAAACUUUUCUUCCCUUUCCUCAUCAUUUAAGAAAAGUUUGCAAAGAAUUUUAAAAUACCUUGUGAUAUCUUGCAUGAUGUUUGAUAAAACAAUUUACGAGAACAACUAUUUUAUGAAAUCAACCAUUUUCGAGAAAACAAACUCGGGUUUUCAAAAUAUAAUGACUUAAGAACUUUCACUACAAAUUAUUUGCUUCAUUUGAAAAUGUAAACAAUUUACGGUUUUAACUGAUAAGUAUACCAACAUAUUUUUAAAUAGGUGGAUUCUUUUAGCAAGAAAGAUAUACGAUGCUUUCAAAAAGUAAAAGUCGGAUUGACAACUUAAAAGUUGGAUUGAUAACUUUUCUUCGUAGCAUUCAUAGAUUCAACCAUAACAUCUAGGUCGGGUUUGAGGUAUUACAAUUGUAAUGUAUAUAAAAUGUUCAUAUAUUAUAUAUAUGAUAUGAUAUGAUAUAACAUCAUAUAAUAUAGUAGUGGGGCUAACUUUCAAAUGUGCGAAGAGUGUAGGGAAUUAGAGCAUAUUUCAACCAAUAUAAUAAUAAUUAAUAAUGAAGAGUAAUUAACAUAUUAUGUAUUACUAUUAUAGUAAGCGGUAUAGCAUUACAUAAUGUAACAGCCCGAUUUUGGGUCUAGUCGAAAUAGUGGUUUCGAAACCACAAAUCAGACGAGGAAAAUUUUAUUUUUAUUAUAUUUUUAUGGUCUACAAUUUUGUGGAAUUAUUUUGUGAAAAUUUUGACGUUUGGGCACUCAAUUUAGUCAAAAGGACUAAAUCGUAAUAAGUGCAAAACUUGAGUUCUAGAAGUUAGAGGUAUGAAAUAGCUAUAGAAUUUUUAGUGCAAGUCCUUAUGUGAUAAUUAGCUCAUUAAUAAGUUAGUGGAAGAUAUUUGUUUGGUAUUUUUGAAAUUUGUUUGAAAAGAAAAGGGCAAAUUGGUAAUUAAGUUAAUAAAGGUGUAAUAAGACAAAAUUUAAAAGCUAUCAUCUUUUUUCUUUCUUCUUCAACCGUUUAUGAAGAAAAUGGGCAGCCAUGGAUGAGAAAACAUUCGACCAAGCUUCUAUGGCCCAUCUAGGUACGGUUUUUGUCCCUUUUUUUAAUGAUUUCUACGUUUUUGGAGUCAUGGUAACUCAAUUUAGCUAUUCUGUACCUUCGUUUUCAAAAUUGUUAAAGUUUGAAAAUUUUGCCAUUGAUGAAUAUAUGUUUAUUUUGAUAAUUGAUGAUAGGAAAUGCAUCCUUGUUGUUAGAUAAACAACAUUUGUAAAGUGAUUUUUGAUAAAAAUUUCGAUUUAGGACUAAAUUGAGAAAUGUGAUAAAUUGUGUGGUAAAAGAGUGAAUAAGUGAAAUAUGUGGGCUGCUAUAAGCAUGAAAAAGGUUUGAUUAGGCAUGGUUAGUAAAGAAAUUGAAUGAAUUUCAUUUUACGAGCCUAGGGGCAAAAGUGUAAAUAUGAUAAAGUUUAGGGGUAAAAAUAUAAUUUUACCAAAAAUGUGAAAUUGACCUAAUUUGAGUUGCAUGAUGAAUAACUAAUUCAAAUGUGUUGUUAUAGAUCAAGGAAGACGAGAUUCAGACUUAGAAUAGGGGAAAAACAAAGAAUAUGACGAAUAAGUCCUUUUCACUGAUUAUGCUACCGAGGUAAGUUCGUGUGUAAAUAAUGCAACAUCACAUUAUUAUGUAUUUAAUGUUUUCAUAUAGCAAGAAUUGUAUAAUUUCUUUGUGAAUUCGGUUGAUGAUGUUCCAAUAUCGAUUUGAGAUCCCGUAUAAGACGAUACCUGGGAUAUGGCACAUCAAUUUGAGAUUUCAUGUAAGACCAUAGCUGGGCUAUUGGCAUCGACACGAGAUUUCCAAAAAUUACACCCAAAAAUUAAAAAACUCAUUUUAAACCCAAAAAUUACAACCUGAGUUUUUUAACUUGACUAUGAUACCACUAAAUGUAACACCUCAAACCCAGUCUAGAAGUUAUGAUCGGAUACUAAGCAAUUACAUCAAUCCAUUCAAAGCUUCGAUUUAAAUCAAACUUAAUGCAUGUUUCGAAAACAUAAAAUUUUGACAAAACUCCCAUAGAUGUUUAGAAAAAUCCAAAUUCAAAAACACUUAUUUAAAACCCAGAAUUCACAUUUAAAAUCAUGUGUUUUGAAAGUUCUAAUGUUAGUAGAUCAAUUCCAAUAUUAGAACAAUCAUUCAUUACAAACCAUAUAUUUUAUUUUCAAAAAAUACUUAAAUAAUUACUUAACCUUGCAGUGAAAUUUUUGAAAUUUAUUUUAGUAAUAAAAACCGAAAUCUUGAUAGCUUAUUCAUAAUAACGAGGCAUGGGAAUGAGAUAGGGUGAGUCAAAUUUUCUUUUUACCUAUUUUAAUCACAACUCGAUACUCUACGGCCAUACAUCACAGCUUGUUUGGUUCGAUGUAAUGGGUUUACCAUUACGCACCGAAUCGGUGAGCCCCACAUAUUCCAGCGUUUGGUUCGCUGUAAUGCCCAUUAUGCGCCGAAUCGGUUACGUACGUAUUCCUCCUUAUUCACCGAUUUCUAUUCCCUGCCCUUUGUUCAGUUUAGCUCCCGUUUAGCAUUCUCCUAAUUCCUAUGCCCUGUUUUACCCUCAUCUUCCCAAGCCGAAAUCCACCUCCAGAACUCUCCCUUCAAACAUCAAACAGAAUCUGCCAAGUAAAUGACCUCCACCGCUCCCGUUUCACUUUCAUUUGAUUGUUUUGUCGAACCAAACGCACCCUUCUGUUCUUCAAAUGCAGUGAGUAGGGAAGUCCAAAAACAGACUUCUAUUCUUCAAAUCCCAACAAGUAUCUCCAAAGAAACCCUCAAGAAAACCUUUCCAAUUCAAGCAAGGUAAACAUUAUCUGCCCUAACAUUUUUUUGUCACGUGUUUUCCCUUUUACGUCUAUGAUGAGAGAUUCAACAUUUCUUGAAAUUGAAUCAUGCAUUCACCUUUAAAAUGAGGUUUUAGUAAGACUUGAUUCAUCAAAUUAGUUGAAUCUCUGUUUAUAAUCGUUAAAAAUUGGCAUCUAAGGUUUCUGAAAACUAGGGCUUAAACUAGUUGAAUUGAUUCAUGAAUCCCAAUUUUCGUGAAAUAAAACUUUAAUUCAUUUGAUAAAGAAUUAGAAGUUGUAAUGGCUUGAUUCUUGAUCAUUUUUUUCAAUUUCAGCAGACAAAUCAGAAAAUCCGAGAGUCGGGGAAAAUACAGUUAAAAGCGUAUAGAAAAGAGACAAAGAGAGCUCUUCGUCUUCUUCUUCCCAAUGCUGUGUAAGAUGCUUUUAAUUGUAAAAUCAUACCCUUUAAUUGGUUAAGUUUUGUUUCAGUUUAUUGCUGGUUUGUUUCCGAAUUGUUGACCUUUUCUUUUCGUUUCAAUUUCUGUUUCUUUCUGGGAUUUAUGUUAGUGCUUUCUUUUCUAUGUACUUUCAUUUUCUUCCUUAUAUCUACUAGUGAUUCAACUUGUAGGUGAUUUUGGCUCUUUUAUAUAUAAAUUGUCAAUAGCAGUUUUAGAAUCAUUAUUUUUUGAUUUAAGAUGCUUUUUCAUUCUUAAGGAUAGGGUAUUUAUUUAUAACAUUGAUAUGAAUCGAAAUUGUAUGAUAACUUAUUUUAGCUUGUCUUGGCUUGGAAUACCCUGAAAGUUGAAAAGAGGUAAGUUUGCAUCAAUCAGAGGGUUUUUAGGACAUUCUAUUUAUGUCAAGUAACCUUCUUCUAUGUUAAAUUGUGUGAGUGCUUUGAUAUAAGCAUAUAUCCGACAUGGUUUUAGUGUGUAAAAUGGACUACUAGAUUGGUAAACAAGCAUUAGCUGCAUACCAUUAACAUGGAAAUGCUUCCUGAAGUAUGUCUGCCUCAAGUGCCUAGGUUGCCUUUUGGUAACUGCACUGUUUUAUAUUACAUGUUGUAAUUAAGAUGGUUCUGUGUCUGCUACAAGAAUGAUGUUGUCUAUGUAAUCAUCUGUGUUCAUCCUAUCAGCAUGUGGAGUUUGGUUAAAUGCUGCAUCUGUGUUCAUCCUAUCAUACUGCUCUGCUUUUUUGUGAGUGUAUCACUAGGAUUUUGGUUAAAUGACUUACAAAGCACUUACCUGAUGUGAUUCUAAAUUUUUUUUUUCUGGUUUAAAAAACAAUCCCUGCAAAGACUGAAAUUUUUUGCUUAUGGGAUUCUUGAGAGUAUUGAUGUUCCAGUUAAUUGAUGUUCAAUGUGAACUUUUGUAGGUAUUGGACUGUUAGCUACUGAUUUGCUCCAGACAUAAAUCGUUGGCAAGCUGAAGCUCUAGUUGCAAUUCAAGAGGUAUUUUAUAGUUGCAAUUCAAGUAAAUUGGACUGUUUUUUUAUGGCUUACUCCAUAGUAAUGUUUUUAUAGUUAUAUUUUGCAAGUGGUGAUGUAAUAAGUUGAUUUUUAUUGGUAUUGAAAAUUUUGAAUACGGAUAUAUGUCAAUUUUUUUAUUAAUACGGAUAUGUGUGUGUAUGUGUCUGUACAAAUGCAUGGUUGGACUGAGAUAAAAUAAAAUCAUGGAAAUAAAACUUAUUGAAAUGAAAUGCAUUUCUCGGGAAACAGUAAAACAUGUUAAUAGUACAGGAAAUCCAGUUUAAGGUACUGGUGUGAAUAAAAGCAUGAAUUAUUCCUUUAAAAUCCAAUUUUCGGUUGGAAGCAUGAAUUUUGUUUCGUCUCUGCAUUUUUUAAAUUUCGGUUUUAAAUCAUUAGUAACUAGUUUAAGUUGGACUAUAUAAAUCGAUAAUGAUUGAAAUACAUCAAAAUAAUCGAUAAUGAUUGAAAUACAUCAAAAUACAUCAAAAUGAAAUUAAAAUAUUAAAAUUUAUAUAAAUCGAUAAUGAUUGAAAUACAUCAAAAUAAUCUAAAAAUAUUGUUAUUGAAGGUAUCCUAGAUUUAAAACUGAAAUGAGUGGCAGUAUGGUAUUGCCAAGAAAACUCUUCGUUGGAAGUUAAAUGUUAUGUAGGCUUCAUAGACUUGUACUGGGAAUACAAUAUUUCACCAAUUCAUUAAAUCAUAUCUCUAAAAUCCUGAAAUCUAAUCGGUAGAUUAUAUUAAUAUGUUAGUUUAAGUACAGUAAAAUGUAAUUGCCAGUGAAGUUGAUAAUUUAUGAAUAAUAAACUUUAUUCUUAAUAAAUAUUGGUAAAUUUAUUCAUAAUUAAUAUGUUUUUUUGUUAUGAUCCAUAUCACAAUGUUUCUACCUUCUUAUUUAUUACAAGUAUAAUUAUAUGUGGUAUCGAUUAUCAAAUAGUAUUAAUUUUAGAUGAUUGAUAAAGAAAUGAAUUUCUUGUUGCAAAGAUAGUUUUAAUUUCUAUUUUGUUCUUUGUAAUGAUUCUAAAUUUGUAUUGUUCAGUUUUUUUUGAUAGUGUGUUAUUGCUUCCUCUUCUUUUUUGGAUUGUUUGACUGCUUCCUCCACUCACAGUUGAGCGUCUUCUUUUCACGCAAUCACUGUAAGUUCCUUGGCAAUUAAAUUAUUUAAGUUUACUGUACUGUUAUUGAAAUUAUGAUUGGAGAAAUGUGACCCUUUUAAAUAAAUGCAGUGAGUAGAGAGAUCAAUCCCAAGUAUCUCUAAAUAAACCCUCAAGAAAAGCUUUCCAAUUCAAUCAAGGUAAAAAUUGUCUGUCCUAACAUUCUUUCAACAUGUUUUCCCUUUUAUGUUAUUUUAUGUAUAUAGUUUGUGAAACUUUGGUGGUGUUUUUGUGUUUAUUGUAUUGUACUAAACUUGUUGAAUUAUAAUUUGAUUUCUUUUCAUUCAUCAUGUGUUAUAAUUUUAUUCUUUAUGAGUUUUUUAUUCAUGAUAUUGAACUCAAUUUUAAUUUUAUAAAGUGUUCACAUUAUGAUUCAUGAUAUUAAAGUUAAUUUUAAUUUGUUUUUUUUUCUUAAGAUAAUUAUGUCAGGUGUUCCAGAAUCAAUUGUUCCUUCACAAACAUCUCGAGGAACCAAAAGGAAAUGGGUUCCAGAAGAAGAUGCAGCACUGGUUUCCUGCAUGGUGGACUUGCACAAUAUUGGGACAUUUAACGCUGAUACGGGGUUCAAAGCCGGUUACUUAAACGAGUUAGAAAAAAUGUUAGAGAAGGCUUUACCUAAUGCGAUGUUGAAGGCAAGACCUAAUAUCGAGUCAAGGAUUAGGUUACUGAAAAGAGAUUGGUCAAUAGUGUAUGACAUGCUUAAUGGCCAAAACAAUAGCGGUUUUGGUUGGGACGACCAUAGGCAGGUCAUUGUUGCUGAAGAUGUGGUCUGGGACUCUUAUUUAAAGGUAAGAAUGAGUUCAACUCUUUAUUAUCCUAUUCUUACCAAACUUAUAACUAAUAUGAUUUCCUCGUUUUUGUAGAGUCAUAAAGAAGCCGGUCAGUUCAAACAUCGUAGUUUCCCUUACUACGACCAACUUACUGCCAUAUACGCAAAAGAUCGAGCGACUGGGAAAGACGCUCAAACAGCCGCUGACGUUCUUGAAGAAAUAAAUGCUGAGGAUGUACCUUCUGCAGAUAUUAAUGAAGACAGAAACGAAUACUAUGAUUGCGAUGCUAAUGUCUCUUUCGAUGACAUGGAUGUUUCUGCCACGGAGCCGCAAACAGACAAAAACCAAGGGGGUUCCUCAUCUUCAAAGAGGAAAAAAAAGAAUUCUGAUACAACUGGUCAUUUUUCUUCUUCAGUUAAUGAUGCUGCCACUUUAUUGGCUGAAAACAUGCGGGCAAUUGGCGAACAAAUCAGUAGGAGUAUUGCCUCCGAUGUGGUAGUUCACCAGGGCAUCCAACAGAAAGCGGCAAAUUUAUAUCCAACCUUAUGUGAAAUAGAAGGUUUAACUAUGGAUGAACGGUUUCAAGCAUUGAGUAAAAUUCCGGAUCAUCCAACUCAAAUGGUAGUUUUCUUUAGUUUACCUUCUGAUGUACGGUUGGAAUGGGUUAGAAGAUUUCUUGCUGACCAUUAAAAUUUAUGGUUUUGUUGAUGACAUUUUCGUAACUUUUUCUAUUUGUAAUAUUUGGGAUGGUAUGUCAUAUACAAUGUUCUAACUUUUUGAUGUGGCAAAACUGUAUAACAUAUAGAUUGUGACAUAGAAUUUCAUGAAUCUCAUUUAACCUUUUGUUAAUAUUCAUUGUUAUUAUGUUUAUGCAAAAUAUAAUUCUAAAGCUAUUUAUUACUGCUAAUAAUUUUUUAUUGUAGAAUAUUUAAAUUAUUUGUUCCACAAAUGAUAUUUUAGCACAUUAAAUAUGUAUUGCAGUUUAAUAAUAAUAAAGUAGAUUAUAAAUUAUAUUUAAUAAUAAUUAUUUAAAUUAUAUUUUAUAGUAUUAUAUAUUAUGAUUUUAGUAAAUUAUAUAUUUUAUUAAAUUAUAUUUAAUAAUAAUUAUUUUAAAUUAUAUUUUAGUAUUAUAUAUUAUGAUUUUAUUAGUAAAUUCAUAUAAGAAUAUUUAUUAACAAUUUUAUUAAUUAUAUAUUUAUUAAAUUAUAUUUUAUAACAAUUAUGUUAAAUUAUAUUUUAGUAUUAUAUAUUAUGAUUUUAUUAGUAAAUUCAUAUAAGAAUAUUUAUUAACAAUUUUAUUAAAUUAUAUAUUUUAUUAAAUUAUAUUUAAUAAUAAUUAUUUUAAAUUAUAUUUUAGUAUCAUAUAUUAUGAUUUUAUUAGUAAAUUCAUAUAAGAAUAUUUAUUAAAAAUUUUAUUAAAUUAUAUAUUUUAUUAAAUUAUAUUUUAUAACAAUUAUGUUAAAAUAUGAUUAAAUUAUUUAUUAUUUAUAUUAAUAAUCUUAUUAAAAUUUAAUAACAAUAACAAUAAUCAUCUAACUUAAAAAAAUUCUGCUAAGGGUAUUCUAGUCAUUUUAGCUUUUUUCCUUAUGUUAUUACACCUCUAUUCCAUUCAACCAAACACAAGAAUACCAUUACGCCUCUAUUCCAUUACAUUCAACCAAACAAAAGAAUUACCUAUUACGCCUCUAUUCCAUUACGCAUCUAUUCCAUUACGCCUCUAUUCCAUUACGCCUCUAUUCUAUUACAGCGAACCAAACGUGCUGUCAAUGUUUAAGUAAAAAAACCUGAGUUGAAAUGAUAAUGUUAAGGGUUUGAAACUUUUAAAAUUUCAAGUUUAAGUAUUAUUCUAUAUAAAUAUGUGAGUUCUUCUUCAUAUCUAUAUUUAUAGUUGUUAGGUUAAUUAUUUAUUUUAGUAUUUAUAAUAAGUAAUUAUUUGAAUCGUUAGUACAAGAGCGGCAACAAGAGGUGCUGGCAGGGGUCCCAUACCUUAAAAUUCGAAACUUAAAAUUUGACUCUUAAAAUUAAUAAAAUUAUAAUUUAAUCUUUUAAAAUUUUAUAUUUAUAUUUUAAUUCUCAUAAAAUUAUACAACUUAAUUCCAGCUCUUUUAAUUUUUUCUUUAGAUAUUUCACUAUAUUAAUAUGAUUAUAACUUAAAAACAUAAACUGAUUGGCUCAAAUUUUAUGUUCAAUCAAAAUUGAUAGGUUUAGCUAAAAAUAUAUUACAAAAAAUUAACUACUCAAAAUUGUUUUUUUUUACUUUAUUUUAAUAUAUUUGUUAUGGUGAUAUAUAUUUCACCAUUAUUUUUAAUUUUAUUUUAUAAUAUUCAAACUCAUUAUUAUAAUAAUUAGUCUCGUAACUAUUUAAUAACACAUCACUCAAAAAAGAAUCAAAUAAAUUAAAUGAAAUAACAAUUUCAUUGUAUUCACAAAAAAUUUUACCUUGACAUUAAGAGUUAGUAGAUGUGUUCAUGGGUCGGCCUGGGCAGGGCUUAACAAAAAUUUUAGGCCCGCUUGAUAGGCCUGAGCCUAAAAAUGGCCCUAAAAUUUUACCCGACUGUAUUAAUUUUUUAUAUAAUUUUUAAUUAUAUAUAAUACAUCAAAAAUACUAAAAACAUCAAAAAUGAAUAUUUCCCAAAAAAUUGAAAAUAAAUUUUAAAAAAUAUGUAUACUUAAAUAACACUAAGAUAGAUGCAACUUAACAAGCAAAUGUCUCUAAAAUAAUAACAAAAUUAACAAUAAAACAAGUUUUAUUAAAAAUAACAACACAACAGUAGCAACGUAAUAGUAAAAUAGCAGCAAAAUAGGGAGAAAAUAACAAGAAAAUAGCAUUAAAAAAUAAAAAGUUGAAAUCAAAAGGAAGAAUAGAGAUUUUACUAAAUGUUGAGGCCUGUUAAAAACAGUUUUCUUAAGACAGAUCCGGUCGCUCCUACAGUACUUGGAGAAACAUUGGUCAAAUAUCUCCCAGGAUACAACAAUAACAAUAAUCAACGCAAUAGCACCUCUGCAGCGAUCAACGAACGAACGUUGCGUUUUUCUAUCACUGAACGUUCGAAAAAUUCAGAGAAUAAAAGAAGAGUUUUAGAGCAACAGAAAAUCAGUGUGAGAGUGUGGAAAAUAAGCAAAGAAAUCUUAGCCUUUUAUAGCCAUUUAGGAUGGUGGAAAUUUUGGAAAUAUCCACAAAAUCUGCCAUUAAAGGAGCCAACAACUCAAAUUGAUUGGAAUCAAAUAACUCUGCUACACAUUUUGGGCCCGAUUGGUCCUAAAAAUUUUCGUUGCCUAAGUCGUGCAGGUGCGCCCCAACCUCGUCAAGUUUGGACCUACAAUCACCCUACGUGUGAGAGAAGGUUUCAAGCUUAGUUAGUCAAUUAUUCUUGAAGAAGGUUCCCAUAUAUAAACACAUCUCACACUUGGUAUUUAACCAAUGUGGGAUCUAAGCCUUUAUUUUUUCUCAACAAAUAUUUCCAAGAAGCUUAAUUUGAGCAUUGAUUUCUCAUUCAUUGCUCAACCAUUUUGAGCAUAUGAUAUACAGUUGUAAAGCUCUCAUGGAGUAGAAUAAGAAACCAUAAUUUUAUGAUUCAACUCUCCACCUUUACCUGUUAAGAAUAUGCCUCAAAGUUAUACGAUCAAAGGACAACAAUUGAAACAACUUCCUAACUGUAAAUUCCCCGGCACUGUUGUGAGUCCAAAUUAUACGAUCCUCCACUUUCGGAUCAAGUUCGAAACUCCCCACCAAAUUCUUUAAAUUAUUCAACAUACUUACCUCCCUAUCUAGCAACACCCUUGAGAAAACAUCCCUUUAGGGCACCUCUUCAAAGCCAUUAUUCCUUAGCUACAUCUUUGACCACAAUAUUCUUCACAGUAGCAAGUCUGAACAAUCUAGGGAAUUCCACCUUCAAUGGACGAAUCUCACACCAAAUAUCCUCCCGAAAGAGGACAGAUUUCCCAUUCCCAAUCACCCACCUAACAGAUUCCGACCCAAUCCAUUUUGACACUUCCUCUAAUUUUGAAUUUUCCACAAUACUACACCAAACUACUGACGUUGCUUUUGGUUUGGAAGUCUUAAAUCUCCAAUGUUGCAAAUGCGCAUCAUACUUAGUAAUGGGGAAAAGUAAAAAAAUUUAGGGGUUUGAGGUAAAAAUGUAAAAUAUUAUAGUUUUAUAUUCAAUUUAUUCGAAUUAUUUGAAUUAUUCAAAUUCGAAAAUUAAACUCCUUUGAACUCGAAAUUUGAAAAGAAAAAGUUUCAGUUGACUCGAUUAACUCGAAUAACUCAAUUCGUUUAACUCGAAAUUUAAAUUUUUUUAAAAUUUUUCGAGUCGAAUCGAGUUUUGUUCACCCUUAAAUAAUAUUAUUUGUAAUGAUCAAAAUUUGAUUAUUUCAUUACAAAAUAUAUUAUCUUUUUAUAAAAUUUAUUACAUGUGAUGUAAUAAAUUUGAUUGUAUAACAUAAAUUGUUUGUCUACACAAAUUUGAAAUUGACUACUAAUCCUUUGGGAUUGGCUAUAAAUUUGAGGUUAAUAAAGAAUUCAAAACUUAUCUCAAUAGACUUUAAGUCUUAAUUUUAGUAUUUAUAAAUCAUGCUAUUUUUAUAUUGAAAAUAUAUAAAAUAGCAACAUUUUCACGACCAAAAGCUUGAAAAGAACUUUAUUGAAUUAUUAAGGCAAUAAGUAGAAAGACAAUCGAUUUGUACUUUCUUUAACUUAAUAUCCAUCCCUUAAACAACAAGCUUAAUAUGAUUUCAAAGUGUGACUGGCUCAAUCAACAAUGAAGUGACUACAUCUUUGAUCGCUUUUCUAACAUAUGUAUAGCCAUCUCCUUCCUUGUAAACCACAUCCAUUACCCUUGAAAGGUUUAGGCUACGAUUCAUAACCUCUGUUGGCAUUUCUGUUGGUUUCAGAAGCUCUUGAUUCAUAUCUUUCCAAGCACUCUCAAUAUAUUUGUUGAAUACAUCGUAUGUCUCCUGUGCUGUUACGUUAUAUUCUUUCAUGUAAUAGUCGAUUACUGACCAAUCGUCUUCUCUCCUAUGCUUGAACUGCAUUCGUAAUAAAAUCAAAAUUAUUCUAUCAUUAUAUACCCUAAAAUUUGUCAAUAUAUUAAACUUUAUUUGUAUAGUGAUGAUAAAGUACCUUUAUUGACAAUACUUCCUCACUAGUAACCCUAAAAUAAAACUAGGUUUUUUUUCUUAUUCGACUAAAAAUGACAUAUAAACAUUAAACUUCAUUUGUUUCAGGUCAUGAUAAAAACCAUUGUUUGAUUUCAUUAAAAAGAUAUUUAAUUAUUGAGUUAAGAGUUCGAUUUCUUGUGAUUAUAUAAAUAUAUUUUUAUACCUUGUGUUCAGCAAUAUCAUCCGUAAACCUACAAAUAACUGUGGAAGCUUGAAUGAUUUUAGGUUCACUGGUUGCCCAUUUAAAGGUCUCUAGUGUUACGAUAUCUCCCAUACCGACGAAAGAUGUAAUAGCAAGCAUGGCAUAACCAGAAGAUGACAAUGCAUUAAUCUUAAAUUCCUCGAAUGAUGGUUUGUAGUUUUGAAGAGUCCAUUUGGCCUCCACAAAGUAGGAUUGAGAAAGUCGUAUCAUCUGAGGCAACAAAAUCCCAACAAUUAUCACUAAUAUCAAAUCAAAUUCUAUAAUAAUAUUUAAAUGACUAUAUAUUGUUAUUCAAUUUAAUUGUUUUUUCAGAUCUAGAAUUUAGCUAAUAUCUUAUCUCGUUUGUACCAAAUAAAUGUUUGUCU